rnacentral:rRNA from 1 species
AUUGAACGCUGGCGGAAUGCUUUACACAUGCAAGUCGAACGAUGAACCUUAGCUUGCUAAGGGGAUUAGUGGCGAACGGGUGAGUAAUAUAUCGGAACGUACCUUGUAAUGGGGGAUAACUAGUCGAAAGAUUAGCUAAUACCGCAUACGCCCUGAGGGGGAAAGUAGGGGAUCCUCGGACCUUACGUUAUAAGAGCGGCCGAUAUCUGAUUAGCUAGUUGGUGGGGUAAUGGCCUACCAAGGCGACGAUCAGUAGCUGGGCUGAGAGGACGACCAGCCACACUGGAACUGAGACACGGUCCAGACUCCUACGGGAGGCAGCAGUGGGGAAUUUUGGACAAUGGGCGCAAGCCUGAUCCAGCCAUUCCGCGUGAGUGAAGAAGGCCUUCGGGUUGUAAGCUCUUUCGCGAGGGAAGAAAACUUACAUUCUAAUAAAGUGUGAGGCUGACGGUACCUUGAUAAGAAGCACCGGCUAACUACGUGCCAGCCGCCGCCGUAACAC